GACGAACGCUGGCGGCGUGCCUAAUACAUGCAAGUAGAACGCUGAAGGAGGAGCUUGCUUCGCUGGAUGAGUUGCGAACGGGUGAGUAACGCGUAGGUAACCUGCCUUGUAGCGGGGGAUAACUAUUGGAAACGAUAGCUAAUACCGCAUAAUAGUAGAUGUUGCAUGACAUUUGCUUAAAAGGUGCAAUUGCAUCACUACCAGAUGGACCUGCGGUGUAUUAGCUAGUUGGUGUGGUAACGGCUCACCAAGGCGGCGAUACAUAGCCGACAUGAGAGGGGGAUCAGCCACACUGGGACUGAGACACGGCCCAGACUCCUACGGGAGGCAGCAGUAGGGAUUCUUCGGCAAUGGACGGAAGUCUGACCGAGCAACGCCGCGUGAGUGAAGAGGGUUUUCGGAUCGUAAAGCUCUGUUGUAAGAGAAGAACGCGUGUGAGAGUGGAAAGUUCACACUGUGACGGUAUCUGACAAGAAAGGGACGGCUAACUACGUG
rnacentral:rRNA from 1 species